GUAACGCGUGGAGAACCUGCCGUAUACUGGGGGAUAACACUUAGAAAUAGGUGCUAAUACCGCAUAAGCGCACAGCUUCGCAUGAAGCAGUGUGAAAAACUCCGGUGGUAUACGAUGGAUCCGCGUCUGAUUAGCUGGUUGGCGGGGUAAAGGCCCACCAAGGCGACGAUCAGUAGCCGGCCUGAGAGGGUGAACGGCCACAUUGGGACUGAGACACGGCCCAAACUCCUACGGAAGGCAGCAG
rnacentral:rRNA from 1 species